rnacentral:rRNA from 1 species
AUGGGAGGUCAGUUUGUUGUGGUGGUGUCACCAAGUGUCUGUUCUAGUUUCCUUAUGGAGUUGGCCAUCCUUGAUUGGAACGUGAGGGGUCUUAAUAAUCCAGCAAAGAGAACGGCUGUGGCAAGUUUUGUGGCUGACAAGGGAUUCAACAUUAUUUGCUUGCAAGAGACCAAAUUAGCUGUAAUCUCGAGGCAUUUGGUUGUGGAAACCUUGGGAGUGAGAUUCGGCGACAACUUCAUCUUUAAACCUGCCGAUGGUACCCGAGGGGGCAUCCUUAUUGCUUGUUCAGUGGAUUUUUCUGUUCUUCAGCUUCAGACAACCCCCAAUGAGUUCUCUUUGUCGGCCACGAUCUCGGACAGAACUACUGGCAAAGGGUGGACGAUCACAGCUGUCUAUGGGCCGCGGAGAGCUGAUGAAAAGAGACAAUUCCUUGAUGAAUUGAGAGUAAUCAAAGACCUUGCUGACCCAGCCUGGCUAAUCCUUGGUGAUUUCAACCUUAUUGCUCGGUCUGAGGAUAAAAGUAAUGGUAAUAUAAACAUCAGAAUGAUGGGCAGAUUCAUGGCUUUUAUCGCUGAUCUGGAGCUUAGGGACCUCCCGCUCCUGGGACGAAGAUAUACCUGGUGCAACGAGAAGGAGAGGGCCACUCACACCAGGAUCGAUCGUUUUCUUAUGACUGAAGAUUGGGAGCUGCUUUACCCUCAGUACCAGCUCUCCCCGGGAUCUACUUGUGUCUCGGACCACUGCCCUCUAAUACUGCGCAAGAUGGGAGUCCAAUGCUUCAAGGGGUUCCGGUUUGAAUCCUACUGGUUAAAGAUGGAGGGGUUUCAGGAGGUAGUCCAGAAGGCCUGGGAGAAAGAGGUCAGAUCGGCCGAUGCUUUAAGAGUUCUGCACACUAAAUUGUCUAGAACAGCUGCUGCUCUAAAAUGA